GAAGUGCGAUAAGCAAUGCGAAUUGCAGAACCGUGAGUCAUCAGAUUUUUGAACGCAACUGGCGCCAGUUGGCUCUCCAACUGGCAUGCUUGUUUCAGUGUCUUUUUAUCUCAUAACCCAAAUCAUAAUGCGAGAGAUACCCUUCUCUUGUUAAGCACGAAAGCACUCUGUACUCUGCAAGCGGCUUCGUUUACGAGGUCGCACUCAAUGCAGCGGUCACGUUGUUUCAAUGUGAACUCAUUGGGAGUAGAGGCAGCGCAGUCUAACUGUUAGUGCUUAGUCACUUUAACUUAUUUGUAUCUGAAAUCAAGCAGGAUCACCCGCUGAACUUAA
rnacentral:misc_RNA from 1 species